UGUAAAUAAACAAGGUGAGGGGAAAAUUUCUGUUAAUAAAGACAUGGUAUCUUGAGGGAAGCAUUUCUCCCUAAGUGCAGAGUUAUUUUCAUCAGAGAGAGCUUCUCUUAACAUACAGCUUGAGGCAAAAUUAAAAUCCAGAAACACAGUUUAAGAGAGUAUGAACUCUUGCUAGAACUGCAAUGUAUCUACCCCAGGGGUCCUAAGAAUUUGCUAACCCCUAACUGCCAGUUCUUCUCUAGCCAAGAAAAUCAAGCAGCUAAGAACUCCUUGGGGAAGGCAGGGUGGUGAAUGGAGACCUAUUAUAAAAUAUACACCUUCAAGAGAACAAGAAUUACAGGUAACCUCCCUCUUCUCCAAAGCGAGUGGUGGUAAUAGAACUCCUCUCUGUGGACACUAAGAAGGCCUUGCUUGUUCUGUGGCUUUGACCAUUUAUAUUUAAUUUAUGGUUUUAAUUUUCUGGAAAGAGCCCAAAGGAGCCCACUGCCCAAUGGAGUGCAUGAUACAGGUUUGGUAAGCACAAGUUAAAAUAAAAUAAAAAUGCUUCAGUGCCUUCGGAUGUGUCUAAAACAACAGAAUUAAGAGACUCUAAAAACCAGGGUCAUAAUUAUCUUUCAGUUUAUCUUAAAUGGCAAAGUGUAAGGGAAGAAAGGUGAGUAAAGAAAGAAAUGGGAGGGGGCUUUAAAAUGACAGGAUAUAGCAUUAAGCAUGGUUGAACCAGACUUAAACGUUGGCCCUGCCAGCCUUCCUGAAAAUGGAACAUUAUAGCCUUGCAAAAUCUGGAUUUCACAGUGAGAAAAAAAUCAAACAUAACACUUCUCACUCUGAAUCACUUUACCCAAAAGAGGGUUUUGAAUUGAAACCCUCAUUACUGCCAAUAACUGAGUUUACCUAAAUAAUCUCUAGCACUUUGGAAAGAGGGUAAGGCCACUGCUGUUUGGCAGAUUUAAAAAAGGCAGGAGUUGUGUCCUAGAGAAACCUUUUCUUCCCUUGAACUUUUUCAGAAAAGCUUUCCUGCUUUGGGCCCUCAUCUCCAGAGGAAUCCAUUGUGCAAAAUGUAGAAUACGGACCUAUAGAAAUAUUGGCUUAUUAACAUGUAUUUUUCUUUGGCAUUGCCCAUGCAUGCGCUAAAUGCAGACUUUUCAUUUUUGGGAAGGGUAAGGUGAGCUAUUUAAAUUUACUUGAUUUCAGGAAAUAUCCACAGAGACAUCCUAGACCCUCAAGAACCUUGCAUCUGUGUUCAAACAGUUGAAUUUAAACAAACAGGUAACAUUUUGAAUUAUAUUUUUAGGUUCCACACUUAUUGAGCAGUGGCUAAGAGCAAAGGACUAUGCAUAACGUACUGUGAAACUUAGUAAGAUUUUUGUUCCUGCAAUUCUAUGUGAGCCACUCUUAACCUGACUGGAAUUGUGUAUGGGUUCCCAAAUUGAGACUUUCACUGUGCUUGUACAACAACAGACGCAGUCAACAACAAAUAAUAUUCAACAGCCCCUGUGUGCAUUGGUGUUUAUAUAAUUCUAACAAUUACAAUAAGUACAGACACUUUAAAAAUUCCUACUAUGUACCAGCUUGUGUCCUAGGCCCUUUACUUGCAUUAAUUAAUUUGAUCCACAUAACAGUCUUACAUGGUUAUGAUAUUAGUUUCCUAGGGGUGUCUUAAUCAAUUGCCCCAAACUGGGUGGCUUACAACAACAGAAAUUUAUUUUUUCACAGUUGUGGAAGCCGGAAGUUCAAAAUCAAGAUGUCAGCAGUGUGUGUCAGUUCCUUCUGGAGUCUCGAGGAAGGAUCCGUUGUAUGAGUCUCUCCUUCCCUCUGUGCUGCAACUCCUGAAACCUGAAGUCUGUGACUCACCAGUUCUAAGCCCCAGAGUCCUGAUGGGGCACCUCAAGGAGACACUUCAGCCACCUAAGUCAGCUGGACCACCCCAUGACACAGUCAUGGAGGUUCCAGUCUGAAUUCAGAGUCAAUGAUAAGGGAGGCUUCCGUGGCAGAGUGAAAAGCACACACCUGAGAAAUGAAAAGAAAUGGCAAAGGUCACACGUCUCAGGAUGAAUUGCACUGUGUGUGACACCCUAGCUGAAAUCCUAUCCCACAGGACCAUCAGCCUGGAAUGCAGUUUGAAGAUAUGUGCAGAAGAAAUGCCCAAGCCGACCCCGGACCUACAGUGAGAAGCAGAACAGCCCAGAGAAGCUCAGCCUAGGGCAACAGAGACAGCCUAGUCAACCUACAGAUCUGGGACAAUAAAUGCUUCUGCUUUUAAGCCACCGAGUUCUGGGAGGUGAUUUGUUCCACAGCAUUAUAGUGGCAAUAGCUGAUACUUCAACCUCAUUUAGUUUUUGUAAGGGCUAGAUCUGAUAAUUCAUGUCAAAAGCCCUAGAACGUGGUAAGCACAGAUAUUAGGAUUCACUAUUAUUAACAUUUGAUCUUUAUUAGCUUAUAAAACUAAGUAUUUUAUGGGAAAGAACAGUUGGAAGAAAAAGCAAGAAUCUAUUUAUCAAUUCAAUGAGAUUCUCAUAGCUGAACUUGGCAAUUUCUUUGAUAUUUGCUAAAAGCCUUUCAUAGAAUGUGAGGCAAGAUGAUGGGAGGCCUCAGAGGAUUCGAAUUUAAGCAGAAAGAAAGACAGUCUUGGCACAGUGGCUCUCCAGCAUGGGGGGUGCAUACCCGCUUCUGUUAUCAUUGGGAUGAUCCACCAGCUUUCCUAUGGCAUUUUCAUUUUGCAAAGCAUUUCAUUUAACAAUCCCUCACUUAACCACUCCUUGGAGCCAAUCUGUACACAAAAAUAGACAGUUACUUCCUAGAGACUGCGAAAAAGUGAGACUUCUAAAGCUUUAGCCAGUAGCCUCUCUUUGUUCAUUGAGGGGUCCCAUAGUCCCAUCUUCACCCCAAACUGCCCUUCUAAUCUCGAGGCUAAGAUGUCUAAUUGCUCCCAGAUAUCCACGACAUGAGGUCCCAGACUCAUGUCACGCUUAAGAUGUCAAAAACAGAAUCCAUCAUCUUCUCUCUGUAUCUAGGACCUUGGCCUCAAGCUGUGGCUCCAAUUGUGUCCUUAUCUCAGUACCCAAACCAGAACCUGGUGGCAUCCAUGACUCCUCUCUCUCAUUCUUCCUUUCUCUAUUCCUUUCCCCAGGCAUCCAAGUUCUAAUUAUUUCUCAGAUCACUCCACCUCACUCCAUCAUCACUUCUUUCACGUCACCUUUUGCCUGGUUAAUAGUAAAAACCUCCCUAUUUGUCUCCCUGUCUGAACUUCUCUAUCGUUUGCUCUUUCUGCUUUUUUUCAUAUUACUUAUCAUUGAUCACCAUCUUUUUUUUUUACUGUGCAUAUCUGUCUGUGUGUGUCUGUGUGAGUGUAUGUGCAUGUGUACGUGCUUUCCUAAGUAUACUUCAUUCUCCCUAUUGGAUUGUAAAUUCCUUGUCUUUAGGAGUCAUGCCUAGAAUUUUGUUCACACUCAAGAAAAAUUUGAUAGACCUAAUCAAAAUUCAGAUUAGAUAUUUAACCAAGCUCUCUGGAUAAAUGUUUCUACUCCUCCAUUCCCAUUCGUAUUGGUCCAUUCUCACACUGCUAAUAAAGACAUUCUUGAAACUGGGCAAUUUAUAAAGGAAAGAGGUU
rnacentral:lncRNA from 1 species